rnacentral:rRNA from 1 species
GAUGAACGCUAGCGGGAGGCCUAACACAUGCAAGCCGAGCGGUAGAAUCUUUACGGAGAUUUGAGAGCGGCGUACGGGUGAGGAACACGUGUGCAACCUGCCUUUAUCUGGGAGAUAGCCUUUCGAAAGGAAGAUUAAUAUCCCAUAAUAUAUUGAGUGGCAUCACUUAAUAUUGAAAGCUCCGGCGGAUAGAGAUGGGCACGCGCAAGAUUAGAUAGUUGGUGAGGUAACGGCUCACCAAGUCUACGAUCUUUAGGGGGCCUGAGAGGGUGAUCCCCCACACUGGUACUGAGACACGGACCAGACUCCUACGGGAGGCAGCAGUGAGGAAUAUUGGACAAUGGGUGCAAGCCUGAUCCAGCCAUCCCGCGUGAAGGAUUAAGGUCCUAUGGAUUGUAAACUUCUUUUAUACAGGGAUAAACCUCUCCUCGUGAGGAGAGCUGAAGGUACUGUAUGAAUAAGCACCGGCUAACUCCGUGCCAGCAGCCGCAGUAA